GAUCCGAAGCCGGGGUGCUAUACAUGCAAGUCGAACGCUUCUUUCCUCCCGAGUGCUUGCACUCAAUUGGAAAGAGGAGUGGCGGACGGGUGAGUAACACGUGGGUAACCUACCCAUCAGAGGGGGAUAACACUUGGAAACAGGUGCUAAUACCGCAUAACAGUUUAUGCCGCAUGGCAUAAGAGUGAAAGGCGCUUUCGGGUGUCGCUGAUGGAUGGACCCGCGGUGCAUUAGCUAGUUGGUGAGGUAACGGCUCACCAAGGCCACGAUGCAUAGCCGACCUGAGAGGGUGAUCGGCCACACUGGGACUGAGACACGGCCCAGACUCCUACGGGAGGCAGCAGUAGGGAAUCUUCGGCAAUGGACGAAAGUCUGACCGAGCAACGCCGCGUGAGUGAAGAAGGUUUUCGGAUCGUAAAACUCUGUUGUUAGAGAAGAACAAGGACGUUAGUAACUGAACGUCCCCUGACGGUAUCUAACCAGAAAGCCACGGCUAACUACGUGCCAGCAGCCGCGGUAAUACGUAGGUGGCAAGCGUUGUCCGGAUUUAUUGGGCGUAAAGCGAGCGCAGGCGGUUUCUUAAGUCUGAUGUGAAAGCCCCCGGCUCAACCGGGGAGGGUCAUUGGAAACUGGGAGACUUGAGUGCAGAAGAGGAGAGUGGAAUUCCAUGUGUAGCGGUGAAAUGCGUAGAUAUAUGGAGGAACACCAGUGGCGAAGGCGGCUCUCUGGUCUGUAACUGACGCUGAGGCUCGAAAGCGUGGGGAGCAAACAGGAUUAGAUACCCUGGUAGUCCACGCCGUAAACGAUGAGUGCUAAGUGUUGGAGGGUUUCCGCCCUUCAGUGCUGCAGCAAACGCAUUAAGCACUCCGCCUGGGGAGUACGACCGCAAGGUUGAAACUCAAAGGAAUUGACGGGGGCCCGCACAAGCGGUGGAGCAUGUGGUUUAAUUCGAAGCAACGCGAAGAACCUUACCAGGUCUUGACAUCCUUUGACCACUCUAGAGAUAGAGCUUUCCCUUCGGGGACAAAGUGACAGGUGGUGCAUGGAUGUCGUCAGCUCGUGUCGUGAGAUGUGGGUAGUCCCGCACGAGCGCAACCCUUAUUGUAGUGCAUCAUUUAGUGGCACCUCUAGCGAGACUGCGUGACAACGAGAGUGGGAUGACGUCAUCAUCAUGCCCUUAUGACCUGGCUACCACGUGCUACAAUUGGCAGUACACGAGUCGCUCUAGAACCGCC
rnacentral:rRNA from 1 species